rnacentral:misc_RNA from 1 species
GAUGAAGAACGUAGCGAAAUGCGAUAAGUAAUGCGAAUUGCAGAAUUUCCGUGAGUCAUCGAAUCUUUGAACGCACAUUGCGCCCCCUGGUAUUCCGGGGGGCAUGCCUGUUCGAGCGUCAUUUCACCACUCAAGCCUCGCUUGGUAUUGGGCAACGCGGUCCGCCGCGUGCCUCAAAUCGACCGGCUGGGUCUUCUGUCCCCUAAGCGUUGUGGAAACUAUUCGCUAAAGGGUGUUCGGGAGGCUACGCCGUAAAACAACCCCAUUUCUAAGGUUGACCUCGGAUCAGGUAGGGAUACCCGCUGAACUUAAGCAUAUCAAUAAGCGGAGGA